rnacentral:rRNA from 1 species
CCCCUUCUUGCCUUUCCCGUCUAUAUACCGCCGUCGUCAGCUCACCCUGUGAAGGCAUCACAGUAAGCAUAAUUAGAAUAUCUUAAAACGUCAGGUCGAGGUGUAGCAUAUGAAGGGGGAAGAAAUGGGCUACAUUUCCUGCCUCCAGGACACACGGAUUGUAUGUUGAAACACACACUAUGAAGGCGGAUUUAGAAGUAAACAGAAAUUAGAGAGUUCUGUUGAAGCCGGCCCUUAAGCGCGUACACACCGCCCGUCACUCCCCUCUAACUAAUAUUAACACCUUUAACUAAGACACUAUCUAAAAACAGAGGAGACAAGUCGUAACAUGGUAAGUGUACCGGAAGGUGCACUUGGAAAAACAU